GGGGGCGUAGCUCAGUCUGGUAGAGCACUUGGUUGAAGCCCAAGGUGUCGUCCGUUCAACUCGGACCGUUCCCA
rnacentral:tRNA from 1 species